rfam:Hordeum vulgare subsp. vulgare, WGS project CAJW01000000 data, contig: morex_contig_87063
AAUAUACUCCCUUUGUCCCAAAAUUCUUGUCUUAGGGUUGUCUUUAAAUGAAUGUAUCAAGAUACUAAAACGUGACUAGAUACAUUCAUAUCUAGACAAAUCAAAAACAUUUUUUGGGAUGGAGGGAAUACUUG